CAGCUAGGCAGUGACUGAGGUUGCAUUUGAACUUGUCUUCCUGACUCAGGCCCACUUCACGCAGGCAAGCAGGCAGGUCUGUACCACAAAUUGUUCUUUUCAAUAUGGCCUGGCCUCCAGGAGAGAGCAUAACCCUGAAGUUUAGGUGGCUGAAACUUGGGAAAGCCUUGCUAAUUCCUUAUGUCAGCAGGGAUGAGCAGACUAUGAGGUUGACUUCCCCUUCCUGCCUGUGACUUACUAGGAUCUUGGGAACUCAAGUUGUAUUGACUAUUGAAUGACACUUCUGUAUCUGGGGUCCAUGGCUUGUGAGGUGUCCCAAGUGGUCCCCUGUUUCCAGAAUGGAUUCAUCUUCACUUCCACCUGGCAGAAUUCUGACCUUCCUUCAAAGCAGAGGUUUUGAAAAGUUGUCAUUGGGAUUAUAUAGACAGUCAUAGAACAUCAAAAUUCUCCCAUUUUCUGAGAAUAUGUUCAUUUUGAAAUAUUCAUUUUGGAUCCCACAAAAUUUCUACACUAGAAUCUACCCAAUCACCUGAUGAGAUUUAGUGGUGGAACUUAUUGACAAGGACAAAACCUCAAAACAUGCCCAGAUGUCUCCAUGCACUGGCAAUCAAACAAAUGGGAUUUUGAAAGUCUGAUGCAUCUAAGAUGGCACAGGUAUCAUUACUCUGAGGUAAAGAAUCCUGUCUAAUUGAACUCAGAGCUGGUAAGACUGGAGAUUCAGGAGGGACCUACUCAGGAGUUUACCCAAGAACGUGAAGACUUUUCCCAGCAGAAUGGGUGGAUGAGAACA